AUUGAACGCUGGCGGCAUGCCUUACACAUGCAAGUCGAACGGCAGCACGGGAGCUUGCUCCUGGUGGCGAGUGGCGAACGGGUGAGUAAUACAUCGGAACGUACCCAGGAGUGGGGGAUAACGUAGCGAAAGUUACGCUAAUACCGCAUAUUCUGUGAGCAGGAAAGCGGGGGGUCGCAAGACCUCGCGCUCUUGGAGCGGCCGAUGUCGGAUUAGUUAGUUGGUGAGGUAAAAGCUAAUCAAGGCGACGAUCCGUAGCAGGUCUGAGAGGAUGAUCUGCCACCCUGGGACUGAGACACGGCCCAGACUCCUACGGGAGGCAGCAGUGGGGAAUUUUGGCCAAUGGGGGCAACCCUGAUCCAGCCAUGCCGCGUGAGUGAAGAAGACCUUCGGGUUGUAAAGCUCUUUCGGCGGGGAAGAAAUGGCAACGGCUAAUAUCCGUUGUUGAUGACGGUACCCGCAUAAGAAGCACCGGCUAACUACGUGCCAGCAGCCGCAGUAAAAC
rnacentral:rRNA from 1 species